rnacentral:rRNA from 1 species
CUACGGGUGGCUCCAGUGGGGAAUAUUGGACAAUGGGCGAAAGCCUGAUCCAGCAAUGCCGCGUGUGUGAAGAAGGCCUUCGGGUUGUAAAGCACUUUUGUUAGGGAGGAAAGUCUGGGAACUAAUACUUUCUGGAUAUGACGUUACCUAAAGAAUCAGCACCGGCUAACUCUGUGCCAGCAGCCGCGGUAAUACAGAGGGUGCAAGCGUUAAUCGGAAUUACUGGGCGUAAAGGGUCUGUAGGCGGAUCAUUAAGUCGGAUGUGAAAUCCCUGGGCUCAACCUGGGAACUGCAUUCGAUACUGGUGAUCUAGAGUGUGCAAGAGGAUGGGGGAAUUCCUGGUGUAGCAGUGAAAUGCGUAGAUAUCAGGAGGAACAUCAAUGGCGAAGGCACCUUUCUGGGGCAACACUGACGCUGAGAGACGAAAGCGUGGGGAGCAAACAGGAUUAGAUACCCGCGUAGUC